AAGGACUGUAGUGUGAAUAGCGUGCUGCGCUGCUCUCGCCAACUGAAAAGAACUCUGGUGUGCUGUAAAUGCCGACUGCACAAUAUGUGACUGGCCCGCGGCUGCUUUGAAGGUAAGAUUGUGUUCUCAUUAAUCUAUUUAUUGUAUCAUUUGUUUUCCAGUGACAUAGCCAACAACGAAAACCUCGAUCCAUCCUCUCUCCACAUAUUAUCUAGUCUGUGCGCUGUGGAGCUUGAAGCACUUCUCGGAAUUUCAGCACACUCGCAUUUAUUUUUUUCCCGACAGAAGAAAAAUGCAAGUCUAACAUCUCGACGGUAAAACGUCGCAUCUGCGCACAGGGCCAAGAGCACGAGAAGUGGCCGAAAGAAGGGAGCCGAUCCAACAGGAAUGCCGUCCGUCUUUAUAUUUAUAUAUGUCAGCGUUAUCAUGCCGUGAUCACAUGGACUGUACGAUUGCGUUGCACAAGGGCUGAUGCAAACGCUCCGUGCGAACAAUGUUGCAUGGAAAAUUAGUGCAUCUAUACAAUUGCAAAAUAAAGAUCUAAAGAGAGAAAACUUAUAUUCACGUCUUUCUUUUAUUGCGUGUUACGUAUUAACACGUUAACAAGUGCAGACCGUUAGAGGCGUUUAAUUCCGUCUUACAUGUGCACUCUGCCCGUAAUUAAUUCAGAUAGAGUUAAACGCCUCUAUAAA